UGUGAAUAGAGUGUUGAGGGCCAUCAUCUGGGGUGGAACUAACCCACUCACGACGGUUAGGGAGGGAUUUUUUCUAGUAUGUAGGGACGAUAUGGGACUCAAAAUCAUGACGCGUCUUCUCUCUUAGCGAGAGAUCUAAAUUACCAGAUUUGACCAACGUGGACGGGCCACCUAUACUUAACCUGGAAAAGGAACAUGUAUAAUUUUAUAUAUGUUCGAUAAAUAGCCAAAUGCUUCGUCAUCUAAUUAGUGACGCGCAAGAAUAGAUGAACAAGAUUCCCACUGUCCCUACCUGCUAUCCAGCGAAACCACAGCCAAGGGAAUGGGCUUGGCGGAACCAGCGGGGAAGGAAGACCC
rnacentral:ncRNA from 1 species